AACCUCCGGGGGCAGGAGGUUCGACUCGAGCGCAGCGAGAGAACGUUGCGUCAGCAACGGCCCUCAGGGCGAGCCACGCAGUGGCGAGUCAUCCUCUAUCACCGACCA
rnacentral:sRNA from 1 species